GGAAACAGAGGACUUCUCUGGAAGUCCUUUCCUGACCUGACUCUCCAGCCAGCGUCAAGAUCCCUUCUUCUCAGCCCCCACAGCUCUGUCUGUCCGGGCUGAUCUGGACUUAUUUACAGAACUGAGACAGUAGUAAUUAAUAAGGUUGUAGGGUAGCAUGGGAAGUAAUGAGCAUCCUGUUGGUCAAAGAGAACAAGAAUGAGGUAGUGAUCCUCAGACAAAGAGCCUUGUGGUGAGAGUGCACACAGGUGGGUGCACUCACUCCCCCCAGAGUCCAAGAGGCUUGAAGCCCUGAACCUUGAGCAGUAAAAGACUGUGGUGUAUGGCAAAGCAUAGUGCUGCGUGCUGUGCCAUGUCUUUCCUCUCUCUGAUCCCUGCUCCUCAUCCAUAAAACAGAGAUUACCGCACCUAACACACAAGGCACCAUUCUCUCCUUUGCAUUAUCCCCUUCUCAUUUUGAGCCAGACACAUGGAUGGAUACCUGGAAGAGAUUCCAUGUCCCAGUCUGCCUGACAGUGAAAUGCCGCCAAGUGACUGAGUUGUCGUCCAAGGGAUGUGGGCAGAAAUGACAGGUCUAAUUCUGUGCUUUUUCUCCUCACACAGUCCUGGGAUUCUGAGGGCUGGAGUGCUGAGCCACACUGGACUGCAGAUGAUGCCUAACAACAGUGGAAAAGAAGGGAAAGGGCCCCAGUCCUUCACAGCUCCCCGGAGCAGAGUGCCUGCCCCAGUGACCCUCGGAUCCCCCUUUACACGAGCCUGGGGAGACACCAUACUCACCAUGAUGACUUUCCUCAGAAACUGCCAGACCUCUGUAGCUGGGUUGGAAUCUCAUCCUUCAAGUACUCAACAACUUUCAAUCCCUCCCUCUACCUACUGUCAAGUGGCCAAAUUCUGUACACUGUCAUUGAAGACCUUCUAACAUUUAGCUGAAACCUAUAUUCCCAGCCUCACCAUCUGAUCCUCACUCCUUGUUUCUCUCCAUUACAUAGUUUAUGGUGCAGCCACUGCUUGAGAUGUCUUCCUCACCUGCACUAGUCAAGUACGGCUCCUAACUACCUCAAGACUCUGCAGCUUAAAGCAACAACCGUGUAUUCUCAGUUGCAUAUCUGUGGGUCAACUGGUACUUGUCUGGGUUCAAAGCUCCUGGCUUUGGCUCUUCUGUGGAUGAGCUCAGGGCUACAGUGUGCAUUCUGGGACCAAGGCUGUCUCUUCUCAUGGUGGUAGCAGAAAGAUAACAGUGUGGAGCAACUGAGUAUGCACACCUAAAGCUCUGCUCACUCCACGAUCAAGUCACCUGACAGUGCCCAGAGUCGAGGAACAAAGAAAUACAUGUGCCCAUUACAAAGCUAAAAGAAGUCAUGGUCAAGCCUUGCAUCAUUGGAAGCUAGGCAAAAGAAGAGGAGGGCAAUGAAUAAUUUUUAUCUAUAACCUAAUCUAACACACCAUCUCUAAUGAAUCUGGAUGGUAUGGUAAAAGACAUCAUCAGUUGUAGAAAUGGAAGGCCUGGGUUUGUUUUGUGCCUAUACAUCUUACCUUCUGAGAGGCUCAGAUACACUGCACUCCUAAACUAUUUCAUGCAUUCAACAGAAAUGCACUAAGAGUCUGCUAUGUUUAGGAAUAUUCUGGACAACCCUGAGCCAGACUGGUGAACAAGGCAGAUGUGUGCCUGAUCUCCUGGCAUUACAAAUAAAACUCUUAACCUUCUCAAUGUCAGCUUGCUCAUCCACAAAGUGGAGAAACAAUCUAGAAAUGCACGGAAAAGCCUGGGAGGGGCCGGCCUUGGAUACAGUCACAGUAUCUCCUUGGAAGUGAAUUCUCACCGAACUGAAUCAAAACAAUGAGUUCCACAUAGAUCAAGGGUCACCCACCGAUGGGAACAUAUGGAAGUCUAGCUUGUGCCAGGUAGGCUGGCCCAGCCCAAGCUUCCUGCCCACAGACAUGCUCAUGGGCAGACAGGGGCAGGAGUCUCCUUCCUGACUUCCCCAGAAGCACCCACCUCAAGGUCAUGCCACAAUGGGUGCUCAAAACAUUCACUUCGGAAUCCAGACUCCAGGGCCUGCACAAGCCAUCAUUUUCCUCAAUCUUUCCUGGAAACCACCUCAAACACUGAGAUUUCCACAAAAGCCUUCCCAUUCACCCAGAGAGAAAAAUGCAGCUAAUCAAAGCAAUCUGGACUUUCUUUCCAUUCCCACCACCUCUCCCACCCCACCCAUGAGUGAAACCUCCCUAAGUGAUUAAAUGUUAUAAUAAGGAUUUGGCAUAUUUACCUUGUCAGAGAUUGUGCUUUUGUGGUAUCUCAUGGAGCACAGAUGGAUUCAAGAGUCAACAGUGAGAUGGACUAUCAGUAGAGACCAAUGAGGAAAGAAAACAAGAAAGCCUCAAGAUAAGUCAAUAAUAUCUAAUCACACACAGACGGGGCCAAGCAUACAACUAACUAGGCCUUUCCGGUAAAACUAAC
rnacentral:lncRNA from 1 species